UACGUAGGUGACAAGCGUUGUCCGGAUUUACUGGGCGUAAAGAGCGCGCAGGCGGUCGUUCAAGUCGAGUGUGAAAGCCCCCGGCUCAACUGGGGAGGGUCACUCGAUACUGAUCGACUCGAAGGCAGGAGAGGGUAGUGGAAUUCCCGGUGUAGUGGUGAAAUGCGUAGAUAUCGGGAGGAACACCAGCGGCGAAGGCGACUGACUGGACAAGUAUUGACGCUGAGGUGCGAAAGCGUGGGGAGCAAACAGG
rnacentral:rRNA from 1 species